UGGAAAAAGCGGCGGAGGCGGUGGACGUAGAGGCGGUGGCGGCGGUACAGGUGGAUACGUUGGCGGUGGAAGUGAAGGUGACAGCGAGAAAAGUGAAGAAUAAAAUACUGAAGAAGAAACAUGAAGCAAAAUACAGUGUGGAAGAUUAAGAAUUCUUAAUUUUCUCUUGAUUUUGAUGAUCAAUAAAAAUGUAAAUUAAAACUGA